rnacentral:rRNA from 1 species
AUUGAACGCUGGCGGCAGGCCUAACACAUGCAAGUCGAACGGUAACAGGAAACAGCUUGCUGUUUCGCUGACGAGUGGCGGACGGGUGAGUAAUGUCUGGGAAACUGCCUGAUGGAGGGGGAUAACUACUGGAAACGGUAGCUAAUACCGCAUAACGUCGCAAGACCAAAGAGGGGGACCUUCGGGCCUCUUGCCAUCGGAUUUGCCCAGAUGGGAUUAGCUAGUAGGUGGGGUAACGGCUCACCUAGGCGACGAUCCCUAGCUGGUCUGACAGGAUGACGAGCCACACUGGAACUGAGACACGGUCCAGACUCCUACGGGAGGCAGCAGUGGGGAAUAUUGCACAAUGGGCGCAAGCCUGAUGCAGCCAUGCCGCGUGUAUGAAGAAGGCCUUCGGGUUGUAAAGUACUUUCAGCGGGGAGGAAGGGAGUAAAGUUAAUACCUUUACUCAUUGACGUUACCCGCAGAAGAAGCACCGGCUAACUCCGUG